rnacentral:misc_RNA from 1 species
UCCUAGUUUCCUAGGCAGUUCCAUCAGAGUGCCCCUAAAAGGGUAGCAACUGAUAGCAGGGGUUGCGCUCGUUAAAGGACUUAACCCAACAUCUCACGACACGAGCUGACGACAGCCAUGCAGCACCUGUGUACCUGUCCAAACUUUCGUCUGAAAAACCGUAUUUCUACGGCGGUCACGUACAUGUCAAGCCCAGGUAAGGUUUCUCGCGUAGUAUCGAAUUAAACCACAUGUUCCACCGCUUGUGCGGACCCCCGUCAAUUUCUUUGAGUUUUAAUCUUGCGACCGUACUCCCCAGGCGGGUCACUUAACGCGUUAGCUACGACACUGAUCCCGCAGAGCGAGACCAACGUCUAGUGACCAUCGUUUACAGCGUGGACUAC